ensembl:snoRNA small nucleolar RNA SNORA79
UUAAGAACCUGUUUAUCAAGUUAAAGAAUAGACUUUAGUCCAUCAUAUAUCUAAGCUGACUGUCUUUACUCAGAACACCAUGGGAUGGGUUGGCUGUCCAUUAGUGCCUUCUGAUUUUUGCAGAGUCAAACAAUU